rnacentral:rRNA from 1 species
GGGCGCAAGCCUGAUGCAGCGACGCCGCGUGAGGGAUGAAGGCCUUCGGGUUGUAAACCUCUUUCAGUAGGGAAGAAGCCGGCCCUUUGGGUUGGUGACGGUACUUGCAGAAGAAGCGCCGGCUAACUACGUGCCAGCAGCCGCGGUAAUACGUAGGGCGCAAGCGUUAUCCGGAAUUAUUGGGCGUAAAGAGCUCGUAGGCGGUUUGUCGCGUCUGUCGUGAAAGUCCGGGGCUUAACCCCGGAUCUGCGGUGGGUACGGGCAGACUAGAGUGCAGUAGGGGAGACUGGAAUUCCUGGUGUAGCGGUGAAAUGCGCAGAUAUCAGGAGGAACACCGAUGGCGAAGGCAGGUCUCUGGGCUGUAACUGACGCUGAGGAGCGAAAGCAUGGGGAGCGAACAGGAUUAGAUACCCUGGUAGUCCAUGCCGUAAACGUUGGGCACUAGGUGUGGGGGACAUUCCACGUUUUCCGCGCCGUAGCUAACGCAUUAAGUGCCCCGCCUGGGGAGUACGGCCGCAAGGCUAAAACUCA